GGCCUUUCCCGGGGCGCUGGUGGCCGGCGGGGCGUCUAGAGCUCAGGCUGGACUGGGGCCCCCGCGGCGUGUGUCCGCGCUGGCAGCAGGGAGAGGGGGCUUGUCCGUGAGAAACGGCCCCAGGAAAUUCCCAGGGCAAGGUCGUUUUCGGAGAACAAAGUCCUCUCGCCCCCUCCCCACGCCUGCAGCGAGACAAAAAGCCUCAGGGAGGUGAGAGGUGCCGCACCCCGGGAGCUGGAGAGAGGAGUCUGGGACGGAGAAACUUUAAAAAGUAAAUGCCCAAACCAACUCCUUGAAUGUCCUACAAAAGAAUAAGAAAACCCCGAGGGAGGUGAACCACAAAAAUUGCUUUGCAAGCAAUGUCCGGCACCAUCAGCAACUCCUACUGGACUCCCAGGAGUUUGCAAGCGUUCUUAACCCCUUCGGACGCUCCAGCCAGAUGCCAGUCAAACAGAUGAUGCUCUUGCCUGAGGGGAAAGGAAAGACACAACCUAGUGCCACAGGUUUUACUCAGAAACUGUUUCCCCAGCUUCUCCAGCUCUUUGUACUUAUUUGUGUGUUUUUAUAUGCAAGUUAGAACUAACAGUCUAUUAAAGCUGUUAGAUGGAGAUACAUGUUCCAUCCCACCCUCAGCCACACCUUGGAUUUUAAUACUUCUGGAACGGUGCCUGCAGGUACCAGGAAGAGCUAAACAACUUCACCUGUUGAAGACUGGCUAGUGAUGGGGAACGGUCCUCCUGCUUCCCGCUUUUGUUUCCACUUCCCCCAUUAACUGUUGUACUCUGUUGAGGGAACUCCUUUCAGAAACAGCAAACCAGAGAAACUGCCUCGCUAGCAAAUUCAUGGGCUCAGAAAAUAAACGUCAAGAAGGCUCAGAUUAAAAUACCUUUUAAAGAUAAAAGACUCCAGUUCGCAGUCUCAUAAUCUUGUCGAAUUGUCUCAAACGCUUGGAAAAGGAACUCGCUAGGCAGAUAACCUUUUGUUCAUUAACAUUACUGGGAAACAAGAUGAGAGGCCUCAAGAAAGGGGUGGAACUCAGAAAGGAGUGAAAGCAGCAAAAUUUAGUCAGAUGCCAAAGGCUUGGCAGAAAAAAAAAUAGGGAAAACCACUACAGUGUUUUUAGCUAGUUAUCAUGGAGAAAUUGAUGCCUUCAGUCUCUUAUCUGUCUACUCUCCAAUAUUUCUACUCGUGGACGUUCCAAAUAGUUCACUUGAAAGCAAUAUGAAUGUCCGGAGAUGAGGGAGUUUAUGUAAAUUAUGGGGUUGAAAAUAUACAGGAAAAUGUUUUUAAUAAAUUAAGGAAUUGCUUGUUAGGGCACAAAACUGCAGAACUGGAUAUGCAGCUAUAAAAUUAAGAGCUUAUUUACGUUAAAUGUUCAGAGAAAAAGACUGUAAGGAAAUACAGCAAAAUGUUAAGAAGCUCUCUGGGUCUUG
rnacentral:lncRNA from 1 species